GAGGGGAUAGCUCAGUGGUAGAGCGUGUGCUUAGCAUGCAGAGGUUCUGGGUUCAAUCCCCCAGCACCUCCA
rnacentral:tRNA from 1 species